rnacentral:rRNA from 1 species
AUCCUGGCUCAGGACGAACGCUGGCGGCGUGCCUAACACAUGCAAGUCGAACGGAACUGUUUUGAAAGAUUUCUUCGGAAUGAAUUUGAUUUAGUUUAGUGGCGGACGGGUGAGUAACGCGUGAGUAACCUGCCUUCAAGAGGGGGAUAACAUUCUGAAAAGAAUGCUAAUACCGCAUGACAUAUCGGAAUCACAUGGUUUUGAUAUCAAAGAUUUUAUCGCUUGAAGAUGGACUCGCGUCCGAUUAGUUAGUUGGUGAGGUAACGGCUCACCAAGACCGCGAUCGGUAGCCGGACUGAGAGGUUGAACGGCCACAUUGGGACUGAGACACGGCCCAGACUCCUACGGGAGGCAGCAGUGGGGGAUAUUGCGCAAUGGGGGCAACCCUGACGCAGCAACGCCGCGUGAAGGAUGAAGGUUUUCGGAUUGUAAACUUCUUUUAUUAAGGACGAAAAAUGACGGUACUUAAUGAAUAAGCUCCGGCUAACUACGUGCCAGCAGCCGCGGUAAUACGUAGGGAGCAAGCGUUGUCCGGAUUUACUGGGUGUAAAGGGUGCGUAGGCGGCUUUGCAAGUCAGAUGUGAAAUCUAUGGGCUCAACCCAUAAACUGCAUUUGAAACUGUAGAGCUUGAGUGAAGUAGAGGCAGGCGGAAUUCCCCGUGUAGCGGUGAAAUGCGUAGAGAUGGGGAGGAACACCAGUGGCGAAGGCGGCCUGCUGGGCUUUAACUGACGCUGAGGCACGAAAGCGUGGGUAGCAAACAGGAUUAGAUACCCUGGUAGUCCACGCUGUAAACGAU